CAUCCCUUCCCACUGAGGGACCAGACACAUGCUGUUUAACUCUGUGAAGAGCAUUAGCAGUAUACCACCAGGAUGAAGAAAGAGUAGGGUUUCUGCUAAAUACCACUGCCUGGAUGCAGAAUGUCCUGCUAGGAGUGAAAGGAUGCCAGCACCCUGGGUAAGCAGGAACCCCGGGAUUAAGAGUCAUGCUCUGCUAACAACGACCUUUGUCACAAAGAAGACCAAAACAAAAGAAAAUUAUGUCCAACCUCGUGUAUCUAACUCUCCCACCAGCCACCUAGCAUCUUCUGAUAGGCAAUCAUGAAAAGGGAUCUAUGAACACAGUUCCAUUAAAUGGGUUUUAUUGAAGUA